UGUAGUGGGCACAACAAAUCAAGCUGUAAAGAGUUUUUGCUGGAAUGAUAAACUAUGAUUUGCUCAAAUGUUGAAUCGACAUUAUUCGACCGGCCAUAUUGUCUGAUGUGUUUGAUUGAAGUAUCACCCUUGUUUAUCAUCCCUUUUAUCACUUAUCUGACUUUCAGGUACUUUGUAGUUAAAAUGUUGAUAAUGGAAGAAGUCAUUAUAUGGAUGAUCGAAUGCUAUUUGACAACAGCGUCUUUUCAGACAUGUUCUUUAGUUCUUAGAGAGCCGAUGGUAUGUACAUACUAACAAACCUCUGUUGCUACUUUCUUGCUUGUAUGAUGUAGAAUUUACAAAACAUGCGUGUGAUUUUUUGUUGGUUGCUAAUUCUGUUGUCAGCUGUUGGAUAAUUCCACUCUA